GGCACUGUGGCAAUACUGUAUAUUGUGCAGCUCUAUUGACUAUAUUCACCUAAAUGUUUGCUGAUUGUGUGUGUUCAAAUGAAUGAUUAUAACCUCUGAACCUUGCAGGACGUGUUUAAAGAAGCUGUGUCUCAGAUGGACUCGGUGAAAACAGCUUUGUACACAACAUUCACAGAAACCAUGUCUCAGAACGAGCUUCCUAAAAAGGUAUUUCAUCUGCAGCGUCAUCACAGAACUCUGUCCAUACAGUUAACAAUGUCUCCUUUAGGUCCAGGAUCAUCUGAUCUGCAGCCUGGAGAACCUGCAGCUCGCGCUCUUCCACAGCAACAAACAGGACUUGCGUAGUGCAGCUGUGAUGGACGCUCCAGAGGUCUACAGAGAGCUGCUGUCUGAGUGCUUCUGGUUAUUCAGUCUGAUGGCUCUGAAUAAAACCCCUCUGCAGCCUCAGUGGGACAGCCUCAGUGCAGCCGACCACUGGGACUGUUUCCCUGAUGAACUCACAACACACUUUGCAAGAGAGGACCCAAACAAACCGAGUGAUGUCGAUCGUCUGAACACUGUGUUUACAGUAAGUCUUAUUGAAUCAUGUCAGAGGUUUAUGUACUUAAGCUUUGAAGUCUGUUUCUCGCACAGCAAUUGGAGAAGGACUUUGUGGCACUUUUCAAAGAGCAGCUGAAGAGGUUCCACAGGCUCCUGACCUCAGACAGGAGCUCAGAGAACUCCAGAGAGGAGAACCCAGAGAGAGAAGGGGAGAGCAGCAGAGAGGCUGUGCUCACCAUCACUCUGGACCUCCUGAGGAGGGAGGACAAGGAUCUGGCGGAGCGUCUGAAGAGGCUCCACAUUAUAGGUCGACCAAUAUGGGUUUUGACAAUUUUGGGGGAUUUCUUUGACCGAUGCCGAUUUGCACAGCCAAUAUUUUUGACCGAUAUUUCGGCCAGUUUUUCCAAAUGUCUGGUCUAUAAUCCUGUAACAAACAUAAAUACUAGAAGCCACUUUUACUUUAUUACUGUAGAUGAUUGAAUCAUUGUUUCUAUCCCAGCUUUGAUUACUUUCCAUUAGCACUAGCAUCUUGCCGUUAGCAUUAGCAUACUUUUAGCAUCAAAAAUACAAUUGGGGAGGUUAAAACUAACUCGGCGUUAGAAUUCUCCAGGUUUUGUUUUUUCCAGACAUGAGGCGGGACAGACGGGUACUGCACACUCAAAAACACACUUGUAUUAUUGGGUACAGGUUAAAAACAGUUUAAGCUGUAUGUGCUUCAGUAAACCAGGGAAAUGUCCCCACAGUGACAUGACAACACGGGUUUGCAUGAUGUUACACUGCAAAUUCCUUGUAGCUUAACAAGAUUUAUUGUCUUAAAUCUAGCCAAAUUAUCUUCUCCAUUUUUUUUUUAGCAUUACAAGCUAGUUUCCAGUUUCAUGUGUUAGAUGAUUAGACUUGUUUCAAGUAAAUAUUACUUUUUGUUCUUAUUUAGUCUGUAUAUCUAAAAGUUAGCCAUUUUACAUUUAUUUCAAGCAAAAAAAGUUUUCAGUUGGCAUUUAGAACAAAAAUCUUUCUCAAAAUAAGAAACCUUGAAAUAAUCUUGAAAUAAGAAAGUCAAUCCCAUAU
ensembl:lncRNA